GAAAUCAAAGAAGAAGAUGUGGAAGAAUAGGGGGUUUGGUACAAGAACAAGUCUCCUGCUAUGAAGAGACUUGAGGAGCAUGCGAAGCACUUUGUUACUGGUCUGAGUUUGAAUCUCCCCUGGUGCAAAGCUUGGGGAAAGUACAAAGGAAAACUACUUAACACUUAAUCAUCCAUCUCUUCUCAAGUUUUGUGUCUCUCUGGUUCUCAGUCAGGUAUAAAAUGAAAAUCUUUUUCUUUGUCUUCUUAUUAUUCUUACAGUAGUUUAUAGUACAGCAGUCUUUUGUUUUAUUUUGCUUUUAACAGUGUGCCUAGUUUGUCAUCAUCAAAAAGAGGGAAUAUUGUUGCCCUUGAUGUUUUAUGAUAACACAAGACAAAUUAUGAUUAGACUAAUGUCUUUAUAAGUUGUGUAGUUAGGAGAUUCAAGUUUCAAAGUUAUUCGAGACAAAGGAACUGGAGCUCAAAAAGCAAAAGACUGGUUGCACUGUUCCUUGACAGAAACAGAAGCUUCGGAGUAGAAGCAAGAGAAUGAAGACUCAAAGCAGAGGCUUCUUAAGAGAAUAGAUACAAUCUAAAGUAUUUUCAUUUUAGGUUUUAUGUAAGUGAAAAUAAUUUGAAGUUGGAUACUUAGUAGACUACACAUAAUAUUUUGCCAAAAGAUAGAAUUUAAAGAUUGCUUAAUUAUAGGAAAGUUUGUUAUGAAAAAUAUCUUUUUCUAAUUUAUUGUUUAAA